CCUACGGGAGGCAGCAGUGAGGAAUAUUGCUCAAUGGGGGAAACCCUGAAGCAGCAACGCCGCGUGGAGGAUGAAGGUUUUAGGAUUGUAAACUCCUUUUGUUAGAGAAGAUUAUGACGGUAUCUCACGAAUAAGCACCGGCUAACUCCGUGCCAGCAGCCGCGGUAAUACGGAGGGUGCAAGCGUUACUCGGAAUCACUGGGCGUAAAGAGUGCGUAGGCGGGGUAAUAAGUCAGAUGUGAAAUCCUGUAGCUUAACUACAGAACUGCAUUUGAAACUGUUACUCUGGAGUGUGGGAGAGGUAGGUGGAAUUCUUGGUGUAGGGGUAAAAUGCGUAGAGAUCAAGAGGAAUACUCGUUGCGAAGGCGACCUGCUGGAACAUUACUGACGCUGAUGCACGAAAGCGUGGGGAGCAAACAGGAUUAGAUACCCUUGUAGUC
rnacentral:rRNA from 1 species